CAGGACGAACGCUGGCGGCGUGCCUAAUACAUGCAAGUCGAACGGCUUUUCUAUGGAAGCUUGCUUCCACUGAGAAGAUAGUGGCGAACGGGUGAGUAACACGUGGGUAACCUGCCCAUAAGAGGGGGAUAACAUCCGGAAACGGGUGCUAAUACCGCAUAGUUUUCUUGAUCGCAUGAUUGAGAAAGGAAAGACGGCCUUUGUGCUGUCGCUUAUGGAUGGACCCGCGGCGUAUUAGUUAGUUGGUGAGGUAACGGCUCACCAAGACGAUGAUACGUAGCCGACCUGAGAGGGUGAUCGGCCACAUUGGGACUGAGACACGGCCCAAACUCCUACGGGAGGCAGCAGUAGGGAAUCUUCCGCAAUGGACGAAAGUCUGACGGAGCAACGCCGCGUGAGUGAAGAAAGGUUUUCGGAUCGUAAAACUCUGUUGUCAGAGAAGAACAAGUUGGAGAGUAACUGCUCCAGCCUUGACGGUAUCUGACCAGAAAGCCACGGCUAACUACGUGCCAGCCGCUGC
rnacentral:rRNA from 1 species